rnacentral:lncRNA from 1 species
ACGACCAUAAAUCCUAAGUUUAUUAUAGAUUUAAGCAUUGAAAAGAUAGCCUUUGCUUUCAACGAUAAAGAUGUCUGUGUUUUCCUGCUUGCCAAUGCGUUUUAAGUUUAUGGGUGUUUGUCAGCUUAUGUAUGUCUUUUGUGUGAUCAAAUAUUCGUAUUUCAAGACAUGUAAUUUAGUCGAGGGACAGUUUUGUAAGUAGUGCUGACUUUGUAUUAUAUUUUAACGGUUCAAACACCUAUUUUUUAAUUAUUUUUACAUAAUAUCAUCCAAAUUGAAAAUUAUAUUACAAUUUGAUUAAAUGGUGAUCAUUUUAGUGUUUUUAGAAUUGUUCAAGUUGUGGAAAACAAUGUCCUGAAAAGGAAAAAAAAAAAGUUUAGAAUGGGAGCACAAAUUAUAAGUCGUAUCAUCUCAAUUGAUCAUUUCGUGAACAAUCUCUCUAAAAAAAAUUGAAACCUACAGUCUUAGUACUGGCUGGUGAGUUAAGAUAAUACAAAUCGACCUUGCUCUUUAGGAUGACUAAUUCAACAAGGUUUAAGGAUUCAACUUGAAGGAGGUUCUAGAUGAUAUGGUUCUCAAGAAUUAUAGACUUGGAAGUGAAAUCUAUCAAAUUUGUUGUUGGAGUUUUCUCAUUUUUUUUAAUGGCUAUUUGCUCUGAUGUAUAUUAUACACGAAGAAAAAUAAAUGGUCUCACUGUGAAAGUGACAUUUUCUUGGGCAAAACAUUUUUCAUGGUUUAAGUACAAAUUAUGAACGUUGAUUCUUUAUGCUUAACCAAUAUAAUUGGAAGCUCUCCACCAAAGUUUAAAAAAAAAAAAAUGUAAAAGAAAAUAGAACAUCGAUGCUUCAUUUUCAACAUAUUAGGUAAUGCCCUAAUAUUGGCCCCCCAUGACAUAAGUAGGGAUUCUAAAUGUAUGAUAAUAUUAAGGUGAGAGUGAUAGAUCAGUAUGGGUUGGGUUGGUUUUCUCAACCCAGAAAUAGUAGCAAAUGGAUAUCGAUCUUAAGGGGAAACGAUAAUUUAAAAUAUAACUUUUAGAUUAACUAUAUGUCAUAGAGUGCAGUCUUUUCUGUUCGACUUUAACAUGGAUGAACUAUGAUAUAUAUGAUAUCGUGUUGAGUUGGGACUAGUUUAUCCAAACAUAGGACGUGUAUAUGACCACUCCACUAUUCCGAAGUUUUUUUUUGGAUUAGGAACACACAAUUUUGGACAAUUUCCCUACGAAUUAAAACUGAUUUUGUUGACAGAAAUGUAAACAAUAUGUUUUAUUUUUUUUAUGAACAUUCUGUUUAUUUAUGUGAUGCAGAGUAUUACCAAUACAGGUGUCACAUCCUGGUCCAAGCUUCACCACAUCCUGGGCUCAACUCCGUUGUAGCACGAUAUUGUUCACUUUGAGUCCCAACCACGCCCUCACGGUUUUGUUUUUAGGAACUCACACGAGAACUUCCCAGUGGGUCACCCAUCCUAAGAUUGCUCUCGCGCGAACUCGCUUAACUUCGAAGUUCCUAUGGAACCCAAAGCCAGUGAGCUCCUAAAAGGUCUCGUGCUAGGAAGAGAUGGGCAUGUACAUAUAAGGCUUAGAUGAUCUACUCCCCUGGACGAUGUGGGAUGUUACAAUCCAUCUCCCUUAGGGGCCCGACAUCCUCAUCGGCACACUUCCGGGUAGGGAUUGACUCUGAUACCAUUUUGUCACAUACCGACCCGGGGUCCACCACAUCCCAGGCUCGACUCGAGUUCCCAGAAACAAAAUCGUGAGGGCGUGGUCGGGGCCCAAAGAGGACAAUAUCGUGUUAUGACGGAGUCGAGCCCGAGAUGUGGUGGACCCCGAGUUGGGAUGUGACAUAAUGGUAUCAGAGCCAAUCCCUAGUCGGAAGUGUGCCGACGAGGACGUCGGGCCCCUAAAGGGGGUGAAUUGUAACAUCCCACAUCGCCCAGGGGAGUGGAUCCUCACAUGAUAAGUUCUCAGUGGGUCACCCAUCAUAGGAUUGCUUUCGCUCGAACUCACUUAACUUCGGAGUUCCUAUGAAACCCGAAGCCAAUGAGCUCCCAAAAGGCCUCGUGCUAGGAAGAGAUUGGCAUGUACAUAUAAGGCUUAGAGGAUCCACUCCCUUAGGUAAUGUGGGAUGUUACACAAGGCUCGUUGGAAAUUACUUUUAAAAAGGUUGAAAAUAGUGAAAGUGUUUUUACGACCAAUUCUUAGUAAAAAUGCAAUUGAAUCCUUGUAGAAAGAACUAGUGCUUCUUGCAUGAAGCACUUCAAAUGCUUUUAGAACCCAAAAAUAUUUUCUCUAAUAGUGCUUUCCGUCAUUUUAAAAAUAUUUCUAAACGAGCUCUAAGUUGUUAUUCAACGAUAUACUGUAAAGUAAAGCUAAAAUAACCAAAAUUAACCAGAAUCCUAGCUUAACAGUUUACGGGCUUAACCUUCUAGAUGUUCAUGCAUUAUUUUGUCUUUUUAAUGGACUAAAUUAAAGGAAAAUUAAAAGACACAAAAUAAGUGCGUAAAGGAGAAAAAGUUGGGUUUACCCAAAUCAUUUCUCAAAGGGGUGUGUUAUCCACACAUCUCAUUUUACUUCUCACACACCUCUUGAUAAUUUAUGUUCGUUGAUCUUCUUCAAUUCUUCCGAUCCGACGGCCGAAAAUUAAAAAGAUGUGUGAAAAGUAAAAUAGGGGUGUGGAUAUCACAUCCAUUUCUCAAAUAAUAUAUUAUUUACAAAACCCACUUUUAAUAUAAGUCAAUAGUUUACAGAUACGAAUGAAUAAACUAGAACGAACCAAGCCAAGUCUAAUACAAUGGGUAAGAAGAAGUGAGAUAAAAGUUGAGCCAAUAAUAUUCAAUGUUAAUGGUCUACAUAAAGAUAGAUGUCACUAUAUAAUAAUGUAGUAAUACUUCUCUUUACUUUCAAAUGACAUGUUUUUAUAAGUUUCGAAGGUGGUAAAUAACGAGUUUACACUUAUUUAUAUUUCCCAUCUUUUAAUUAUAAAUAUAUCGUUGUAUAAAAAAAAGAUCUACAUCAAAAUAAACAAUUUAAUUAAAAGCUUUCACAAUUUUUUUUUCCUUUCUAGAAAGCUAAUGAAGAACCUUAAUUUUUUGGAUUCUUUAGAUAUAAGUCCAUGCAACACUUAUUUUCUUGACAAAAACCCAUCUCAUUUUAAGCAUCCAAGUAAAACCCAAAUUUAAAGUAGACUGCCAUGUAAACAAAUAAAUACCUAUUAUUUUCAAACUAUAUAUAAUUGUGCCACAACAUUCUAAUUAUGUUAAUGAAUUUAAUUAUCCACCAUAAUUGUGGAAAAUAAGUGUCUUAUUAUUGUAAAAUUAUCUACUUUAUACUUCUCUUACCAUCAUAUGUUUCAUUUCUUUUAUUUGUUUGACAAUCAUUGUAGGUAAAUUAUUUUGCAUGUAUAUUAGACAUAUUUUGUUAAAAUUAUAAAUAUGCGUGCAAAUAAUUUAUCUAUAUUUGUAUGUAAAAUAAUAUGUAAUUGAUUAAUUUUGAAUCAAUUGGCUAAAAACAUUUAUUUAUUUUGUAGGUAAAUUAUUUUUCAUGUGAUAUUACAUAUAUACUAGCUACAUUUUGUUAUUAUUAUAUAGAGUGUGCAAUCAAUCGACAUCUUUUAUUUUGUAGGUAAAUUAUUUUGCAUGUAGGUAAAUUGUUUUACAUUUUUUUUUUUUUUUGCAAAUAUUAUUGGUAUUUAAUUAAUUUUGAAUAAAAAAAUUUAUUUAUUUUGUAGGUAAAUUAUUUUGCAUGUAUCAUUACGUAAAUUACUAGGAACUUAUAUUGUUAUUAUAUAUAUGUUGUGCAAAAUAAUUCUGAUAAUUUUGAAUAAAAUAACUUUUUUAUAUUUGUAGGAUAUAUUAAUUUACCUGUUAGCAUCAUGUGAAAAUAACUAUAUAAGGAACAUUGGUAUCAUGUAAAUUUUGUUAUUAAAUGCAUAGGAAUCAUAACAUUUAAAUUUUUUUCCAAAUCCCCAUAAGGUAUUUGAAGACAUUUAAUUGAAUGAAAUAAUGUAAAAUAAAUGUAGAUAAUAAGUGAGAGACCCAAAGUAAGUGUCCCUUCGGGGAUAUCCAAUAAAAAAGAGACCCAAAGUAUGUGUUAUUAGGGGUAAAUUAGACAUCCAAAAAUACAAAUUUUGCAAGUCAAACUUAAUUAUGAAUAUUGCUUAGUAGUCAUUGGGUAUUUGUUAAAGAAAUUUACAAUGAUGGGUUUUAGUUAAAGAAAAUUGAGUGGAUGAUGUAAAAGAAAAAAAAUAAAAUAAAUAUUGAAUGAUGAUGUAGAUCAAGAUUGAAUUGGUAUAUAUUAAAAAGUUAAUGAAACAUUAAUCAAUCUAGGAUCGGAAUUAAUUCCUAUGGGUUGAAUUGGUAUAUUUCUCUGGAAAAAAGUAGCUACAAAUUUUCAUGUGAAGAUCGGUGGCCAUGCAUGCAUAUAUAUCCUACGUUUAUAAUAAGUAAUUGGUUGAAUUUGGAUAUAUACUUCCACUAUUUGAUUAAUUUUAGUUUUUGUAAUCAAUGAUCCUAAAGAAUAAAGGAAGAUUUUAAGAUCGAAUGAAAGGAACCCCGAGAAUAAUAUGUUUGAAUUAUAUGGACAUGAUAAGUUUCUUAACCCAUUUGCCGGGAUUUUGGUAUGAAUAUAUAUUGGAAUAAUAUAUAGGUGUAUAGAUAUAUAUAUGAGCUCAUUUGUAAGUGUUUUAAAAAUUGAUUUUGGGUUUCAGAAGCAUUUAAAGUGCUUUUUAGAAGAAGCACCAUAUAUUUGCUUUUUGCAGAAGCACUUCAAGUUCUUUUUAAGAUUCACUUAAUUUUUUAUUAAGAAUUGGUUAAAAAAAAAGAAAACUAAUGAAAAGGGCUUGAAAACUUUAAGUUUUAAUGAUAAGGACAAAAUAAAGGGUAAAGUGAAUACCAGGAUUGACUUUUUAGUGUAAAAAUUUGGUUUUUCGUUAAAAUGAACAGUACCGGGUGCUUUUCGUUAAAGUUCCCUAAAAAAAAACAUUUUAACUAAAAGUGUUUCAGUCAUUUUAAAAGCACCUCCUAAAGAGCCCUAUAUUGUUUAAAUGACUUUGGUGAUCAAUGAUCAUGAAUGGAGUUGGAUUUGGAUUUGGUAAAUAUUUACCUAAAAUUAUUCACAUUCGAUGGGAUACAAUACCUUAUGCAUCUAGAAGUAGGAAGACAUGAAGCUAAGAUGUUGAAUUUAAAACUUGGAGGAGCAGAAUAUAUGAUAAAAUUGACUACCCAAAUCAUCAAGAUAUCUCGAUUUAGAGUCUGAGUUUUUGGAAGUUCACCCUUUUUGCAAAGUAGUCCACUCUCCAUCCCUGUGAUACAACAAAGAGACUGAUAAAAUGGUAUUUUCUUACCUCUUUGACAAAAGUUUGUUUUUUGCCGAAUAAAAUUGACCUACUGCACCUCAAUAGUUUUCCUCUUAAAAAAAAGAGUGAUGCUAGAAAGACUAUCUUUUCAGAUUAUGUUUUGUAAAUCAUAAAUGUGACGGUUGAUAGUUAAUUUCUUUAGUUAAAUUAUUAAAAAAUAAAUUCAACUGUCAACAGUUACAAUCAUGUAGUUUAAAACAUAUGAUUUAUAGAAAGUUUCUAUAACAUAUUCAUUUAGAAAAUACUUUGUGAAGUGGCGAAGCCAAAAUUUUCAUGUAAUGUGGUCAUGAUUUCGACCAAAAAAGAAAGGUUGAGCGAUUGUUUCAAUUUGUUACAUAUAAGAUGAUGCAUAGAAGGUUUAGCGAGUGUUUCAAUUUGUUACAUGAAUCUUUAAACUACCAUAAAUCCUAAGUUUAUUAUAGAUUUAAGCAUUGAAAAGAUAACCUUUGCUUUCAACGAUAAAGAUGUCUGUGUUUUCCUGCUUGCCAAUGCGUUUUAAGUUUAUGGGUGUUUGUCAGCUUAUGUAUGUCUUUUGUGUGAUCAAAUAUUCAUAUUUCAAGACAUAUAAUUUAGUCGAGGGACAGUUUUGUAAGUAGAGCUCACUUUAUAUUGUAUUUUAAUAACUACAUUGCAAAAGAUGAAAUUGGUAGAGAGGAAGAGAAAGAAUUGGUAGAGAAAAACAAGAGAUAUUGUAUUGAUUGAUUAGAGAAAAUGUAUAUAACUGAACUUAAGAAAAUGAUAGCUAUACAAUCCCUUAUAUAGCCAUAUAUCUCAAUUACAAUCAUACCCUUCGAACUAUAUUUAUGUUAUAUUAGUUAUUACUCCCCCUUAAACUAAACUUGGAGUAUCCAAGUGAAGUUUGAAAUAGCCAAGUAUUUGAGACUGAUCUGGACAAAUUCUAAAGCAACAAGAGAAUAACACUCUUGACAAAUUCUAAGGCAACAAGAGAAUGACACUCUUGACAAAUGACACUCUUGACAAAUUCUAAGCAACAAGAGAAUGACACUCUUGACAAAUUCUAAGGCAACAAGAGAAUGACACUCUUGGCAACAAGAGAAUGACACUCUUGACAAACUCUAUGGAAUCAAAGAAAGAAUGAUACUUUCUUAACCAUCAAGAAAGAUUGAUACAUAAGUACCAUACUUGACCAAUCCCAAAACUACUGAGCACCGGUCAACGUUAUAUCGUCAAGGACCCAUAAGAGUUUCCCUCCAACCAGGAGGCCAAUCACAGCGCGACACGUGUCGACAUCAGAAGCCAAUCAUAGCGUGACACGUGUCAACAUCAUAAGCCAAUCACAACACAACACGUGUCAAUGUCAGAAUGAAACUAGAAACUCUCUUUUAUAAAUAGAGAUCAUUCUCUCACAAUAUUUCCUAAUGUCAUUUGUACUAAAUCAUUCACUAGUACUCACUAAAGGAAAACUUGAACCUAUAUACAUGUGUAAACCCUUCACAAUUAAUGAGAACUCCUCUACUCCGUGGACGUAGCCAAUCUGGGUAAACCACGUACAUCUUGUGUUUGCUUCCCUGUCUCUAUCCAUUUACAUACUUAUCCACACUAGUGACUGGAGCAAUCUAGCGAAGGUCACAAACUUGACACUUUUUGUUGUACCAAAGUCCUCACUGAUUUUGUGCAUCAACAUUUGGCGCCGUCUGUGGGAACGACACUUAUUCCCACUCUCUUAAGCUUUGUUAAGGUGGUUUCCACCAUUUGUACACUCUCUUUUGACCAGGCAUCCCUCUCCAACAUGGGGAGCGAAGGAAGCCACAACAUGUAGAAUGACACCCCUCUUGCACUUGGUGCGAGGCAACGAAAGAAGGAAGGAAAGAGGGUUGCUCUUCAAGCUAAAGUCGAUGAGUUAGAAGCUCAGAACAACAAGAUAGCAAUGAAGAAUGAGGUCCUCCAGGAGCAGUAUGAGAAGCUCUUUGAGACGCUCCACGAAACUAGGCAUACUCAAACAUGCGAGCUCGUUACCCAUGUGGACAUCAACCAUCAUCUAGGUAUUGAAGAAAAGAUUACUCUGCGACAGAGUCCCGAGUGAAGGAACACUUAGUCCAAACUGGGAUGGACCGUUUGAAGUUGUUGGCAUCAGUCGCCCUGGUUCUUACAAGCUUAGAAGCUCCGAUGGCAAGACCAUUGGCCAUCUAUGGAACGCUAAUCACUUAAAGUACUAUUACAAGUAAACUCACAUUGGUUAAGUGUUAAGCUUCAGCCGCUCGGCAUCCUAUGUAACGAAGACUAUUUGGCAUGAAUUCAAUAAAGAGGUGAUUUAGACAACUCGGUCAUAAUCCUCUUACAUUCCUAGCAAUGAAACACUCGGGUUCAAAGCUUCAACAUGAAUGCUUCCAACAUGAAACAAAGUCUAAGUAUAUGUCAACAAUACUAUACAAAUAAACGAACAGAUUCACAGUAUAUUUGUUCAAUCGUACAUUCCAACACAUUCAUACAUAAGCCAACUGUGAUUUGAAAGGGUUCAACAUACUUCGUGUCAUUCGACACUUUCUACAAUGUGCCUAGACACCUUGCCCUUAUUCUCACCAAGCAGGUGAUGAAAUGUGAAGAAGGAACUCAUCUUCAUACUACCAACCAAGUGAUGAAAUGUACAACCCGUACUCUCCUUCAUGCCACCAACCAGGUGAUGAAAUGUACAACCAGUACUCUAAUAUCAUUUGGCAACUUGCCACUCAUGCCACCAACCAGGUGAAGAAGGAACUCAUCUUCAUGCCACCAACCAGGUGAUGAAAUGUACAACCCGUACUCUCCUUCAUGCCACCAACCAAGUGAUGAAAUGUACAACCCGUACUCUAAUAUCAUUUGGCAACUUGCCAUUCAUGCCACCAACCAGGUGAAAAAGGAACUCAUCCUCGUGCCACCAACCAGGUGAUGAAAUGUGAUGAAAAGUGAUGAAGGAACUCACCUUCAUACCACAAAUCAAGUAAUGAAAGCAACUCACCAUUCAUUCCACAUACCAGAAGACGAGUGGUACAACUUGUACAUGUGAACUCCUAGCAUUCACAAAUAAUAAAAAACCCCUCAAGCUUGACAACUCAACUAGGGGAGCACUUAUGCGCAACAAGAGUUAUAGUCACCAACAAAGUCUUAUUGCAAGCCAACAACAACUUCAGUGCAUGGCAUACGAAGAUCAAGCUAUUCAGCCCUCUUGCAUCUGCUUUAGACAUUUCCCCUCUGUAAUAAUGCAAACACUACAACUCGUAGAAAGCUUCACGCUCUUGAUCAAGACAGUGUGAAGCAAAACCAAUAUACGGUGCCAACAAGAGCUUCAUCAAGAGAGUUCAACCACAAUUCUCAAAAGCUUCACACACUCUUGAUCAAGACAGUGUAAAGCAAAACCAAUUUAUAGUGCCAAUAAGAGCUUCAUCAAUGGAGGGCAACCACAAUUCUCAAAAGCUUCACACACUCUUGAUCAUGACAGUGUGAAUCAAAACCAAUUUAUGGUGCCAAUAAGAGCUUCAUCAAUGGAGGGCAACCACAAUUCUCAAAAGCUUCACACACUCUUGAUCAAGACAGUGUGAAGCAAAACCAAUUUAUGGUGCCAACAAGAGCUUCAUCAAUGGAGGGCAACCACAAUUCUCAAAAACUUCACACACUUUUGAUCAUGACAGUGUGAAUCAAAACCAAUUCAUGGUGCCAAUAAGAGCUUCAUCAAUGGAGGACAACCACAAUUCUCAAAAGUUUCACAUACUCUUGAUCAAGACAGUGUGAAGUAAAACCAAUUUAUGGUGCCAACAAGAGCUUCAUCAAUGGAGGGCAACCACAAUUCUCAAAAGCUUCACACACUCUUGAUCAAGACAGUGUGAAGCAAAACCAAUUUAUGGUGCCAACAAGAGCUUCAUCAAAGGAGUUCAACCACAAUUCUUAAAAGCUUCACACACUCUUGAUCAAGACAGUGUGAAGCAAAACCAAUUUAUGAUACCAACAAGAGCUUCAUCAAUGGAGGGCAACCACAAUUCUCAAAAGCUUCACACCCUCUUGAUCAAGACAGUGUGAAGCAACACCAAUUUAUGGUGCCAACAAGAGCUUCAUUAAUGGAGGGCAACCACAAUUCUCAAAAGCUUCACACACUUUUGAUCAAGACAAUGUGAAGCAAAACCAAUUUAUGGUGCCAACAAAAGCUUCAUCAAAGGAGUUCAACCACAAUUCUCAAAAGCUUCACACACUCUUGAUCAAGACAGUGUGAAGCAAAACCAAUUUAUGGUGCCAACAAAAGCUUCAUCAAUGGAGGGCAAUCACAAUUCUCAAAAGCUUCACACACUUUUGAUCAAGACAGUGUGAAGCAAAACCAAUUUAUGGUGCCAACAAAAGCUUCAUCAAUGGAGGGCAACUACAAUUCUCAAACCUUCGAAGCAAAUUCAAGACUGUUUGAAGCAAAUUCAAGACUGUUUGAAGCAAAUUCAAUUUAUAUAGUUCAUCCAAACCUUUGACUACUACAAGGUGUGGCUUGCAUCACAAUCUCUUGCUCAAUAGUGUGGAAGCAAAAUUUGUGUAUGUUGUCUAUCCCACAUUUUCAAAUUUCUAGUUUCCCAAAAAAAAAAAAAAGGAAAUUCAACAAAGCUUCAUCAAUAGAGGACAACUACAAAUUCUCAAAAGCUUCACACUAUCUUAAUCAAGAUAGUGUGAAGCAAAAUCAAUUCGUGGUACUCAACAAAGAUUCACCACAAAAGUUUCAUCAAUGGAGGACAACUACAAAUUCUCAAAAGCUUCACACUAUCUUGAUCAAGAUAGUGUGAAGCAAAAUCAAUUCAUGGUACCCAACAAAAGCUUCAACUCCAAAGCUUCACCUCCAAAGCUUCAACUCCAAAGCUUCACCUACAAAAGCUUCACCCACAAUAGCUUCACCUACAAAAGCUUCACCCAUAAAAGCUUCACCAACAAAAGCUUCACCCACAAAAGCUUCCCCUACCAUAAAAGCUUCACCCACAAAAGCUUCCCCCACCACAAAAGCUUCACCUAUAAAAGCUUCACCAACAAAAGCUUCACCCACCACAAAAGCUUCACCCACAAAAGUUUCCUCCACCACAAAAGCUUCCCCCACAAAAGUUUCCCCAACAAAAGCUUCACCACCACAAAAACUUCACCCACAAAAGCUUCACACUAUCUUGAUCAAGAUAGUGUGAAGCAAAAUCAAUUCAUGGUACCCACCAAAGCUUCAACCUCAAAGCUUCACCUACAAAGCUUCACCUAUAAAGCUUAUUUUUUUUUCGGAAAUUCUAAAAUUCUAAAAUUCGAAAAUUCAAAAAUUCAAAAAACAAAAUUGCCUAGGCCUCUUCUUCUUUGGGCCUAACAAUUUUCAUAACAAAUAUAUAUGAAGGAGAAGUUUUGGGCUACUACUUAGAAAGGAAAAUGGUGAAGUUUUGUUACUUUGGAAACUUGGCUACUAGCAAGACACUUCCUUCGCCAACGCCCUCGACCGGAGACUUGGGGGACUCCUACCAUAUGCUACUGCACCUUGAUACUCGGAAGUCUUACAACCAUUCAGUGACUUGGAUUUUUUCAAGUCUCCAACCGAGAAGUUUUCCUCACUCGGGAAAUUAAGGGAGCACUACCUCAACCUACAUGCUUCACUCUCAAAGCUUCAACAUACAAGCUUCAACAAAAGGAAAAAUUCAAAGAACUUAGUGAAAAAAGUCUUGGUGUAUUUAACACAAUACGUUGAAAUGAAGCAAAACUUGUUUAUUGAUAUCUCCGAUAAGUUACAAAUAUGUACAUAUACAUGAAUUAAAUAAACAAACAAGAGGGAGCCUUCACAAAGGUUGUUCAGGAGAAGUCUCAGCAGUCAGCAGAGCCCCAGAAAGAGGAGGCACCAGAGGGUGAUUAUUCGGAGCCUCAGUACUAGGCAGAAUCCUAAAAGGAUGAGGCAUCGAUGGUUGAUCAUUUGGAGCUUCAUUACGCGGUACAGCCCCAAAAGACGAAGGCAAUAAAUGCCUUUAGAACAAACCCAUAAACCUCUGAUGAUCAAGUAAAAUCUGACCAUCAGAUUACUGCAGCUGGUCGAGCUUCCUCUUCAUGUUUGUAGCAUAGUCAUGUGUGAGCCUGUGCAACUAUUUAUUCUCAUGCUUGAGCCCUCUGAUCUCCUAUUUGAGACUUAUCACUUCAGCUGCCAAUGAUUCAACUUAGAGGGUUUAAGCAAAUAGGCGUUGGGCCAUAUUAAACACAGAACCUGCACAUUGAACACUGAGAGCCAGAGAAUCCUUAACAGCCAACUCAUUAAAGUUCAAGUCAAAAUGACGGUCGGAUGGGCCAGACAUUCUUAGAAAUGAUGAAGGAGAAAUGAGGUGCAAUAAAUCUCUAAAGUAAGGGGAAAAUUCCUACAAGCAACAACUCUCUGAAUGUACUUCUUGCACACAAUGGGUGCCCUUAUAAAAGAAAGGGUAACAGGACCGUUGGUUCAAAAAUUGAAGAGGCACCACUCUUCGGAUUCCAAAGAGGCACCACUUUCCACACAUAACAUCAGUUCAUCGGGUACCACAUACAACUUUGCCAAAGAUCUCUGACAAAGUUUAAACACAUAAAUUUUGAAGGUCCAGCUACCCUACUAUUACCCACAAGGGUAAAGGAACAACACCACUGCUUGAUAACUAGAAAGUCCCAAUGUGUGUGAACCUCCGUGCUCCGUGGCAAGGCAGACUGGCAAAAAUGCCCAACCUUUACUCACAUUCGAGAAAACACUCCUAACAAGAUUGCUUGCUCAAAAAUCGAAAAGCACCGCUCUCCGAAUCUCAAGAGCCAAACUCCCAACAAGAUUACUUUCUCAAAAAUCGAAGAGACACUGCUAUCUGAAUCUCAAGAGUCAGACUCCCAACAUGUAACAUCCCAUAUCGCCCAGGGGAAUGAUCCUUAAAUGUAUAUUCCCAUCCCUACCUAGCACGAGGCCUUUUGGGAGCUCACUGGCUUUGGGUUCCGUAGGAACUCCGAAGUUAAGUGAGAAUAAGGUUAGAGCACUCCCAGGAUUGUGAUCCACUGGGAAGUUGCUCGUGAGUUCCCAAAAACAAAAUCAUGAGGGAAUGGUAAGCCCAAAGCAGACAAUAUCGUGUUACUGUGGUGGAGCUGGCCUGGGAAGUGAUCCGCCCCGGGUCGGGAUGUGACACAACAGGAUUGCUUUCUCAAAAAUCGAAGAGGCACCGCUCUCCGAAUCUUGAGAGCGAGACUCCCAACAGGAUUACGUGCUCAAAAAUCGAAGAGGCACCGCCCUCGGAAUCUAAAGAGCCAGACUCCCAAUAGGAUUACUUUCUCAAAAAUAGAAGAAACACUGCUCUCCGAAUCUCAAGAGUUAGACUCCCAACAAGAUUGCUUUCUCAAAAAUUGAAGAGGCACCGUUCUCUGAAUCUCGAGAACCAGAUCCCCGAAAGGAUUGCUUGUUCGAAAAUCAAAGAGGCACCGCUCUCCGAACUUUGAGAGCUAGAUUUCCUUGGAUAAAGCUUGUCUGCAAUCUUCACACACAACAUUAACUUUUUAGAUACCACAGACCAUUUUUUCAAAGUGCUCUGACAAAGUUAAAAUGCGUGAAGCUUGCAGCUCCCACUACAUUGCUAUGAUCAAGAAGGGUAAAGGAAUAGCACUACUACUUGUUGUUAGAGAGACUCCUAUAUAUGUUGACCUUCAUCCUCCACAGCCAGGCAGACCUGCAAAUAAAAAAAAUGCUCAACUUUUCUUCACAUCCGAGAUGGCACUCUUAGCAGAAUCUUUCAAAAUACUUAGCUUAUUUUCCUCCCGAUAAUACCUCUGCAAACAAGCCACACCAGAGCAAGAGUAUCUCAUAUCAUCAGGGUUAAAAGCAAAAGUAUCCCAUAUCAUGUUUUUUCCCUGUAUUUUCCUUUGGCCUUGUUCUUACCUGCAAGACAAGGAGAAAAAGAGCAAUCAAUCAGCACUUGGAAUCAAGCCUCCAGUCAAGAACUGACUGCCUGGAAUCCCUUACCUGAUUACUUACAUGGCAUUGCUCUCGAGUACUCAUCUUCAACAUCUUAUGCUUUCAGAGAAGAUACCACAUCUACCUGAUGAACAGAUAGGGCAAGUGAGAAGGAUACAAUGAAGCAUGUCGAGACAAGCGUAACAAAACACGUGCCGAUACAUCCACUACUUUGUCAACAGCAAAAGUAUCUCAUAUCAUCAAGGUCGAACGUACUCUAGAUUUGAUGGACUUGUUUUGACCCUCAAAUUCUUGAGUCGGCCUUAUAUUCUGGAGGAAACCAGAAAACCCUCAAGCCCAAUUCAAGAAUAAGCCUGUGGAAAGUUACUUAUUCAACAGCAAAAGUAUCUCAUAUCAUCUCUUCUCCAUUUACUUCUCCUUAUCCUUGUUGUUGUUUACGACACAAGGAGAAGGAGAACAAUGAACCGGAAGCCGAAGUCGAACCUCUGAUCCAGGUUACUUGCUUAGAAGUCUGAUUGCUUACCUUGUCUGUUACCUCAUUCGGCAAAUCUCCUAGCUCGGCAACUUGGGGGACUCCUACUAUAAGGUUUGUAUUGCACUUGACCAAGCCCGAAACUACAAGUAAGCUUCAAGUGAAAUUGAUACAUUACCUUGUGCAUUUUCAUCGAUUAAAGAUACCACCCCUGGAUGGAGGAAAAGUACUUCCAGAGAAGAUGUCACAUCUACAUAUGAGACAGAUAAGGCAAGUGAAAAUGAUAUCACACUUCGGUACUUAGAAGUUUCUUGAUUACUCAAUGGCUUGGAUCUUGCAAGUUCCCAACCGAGGAGCUUCCCUUACUCGGGAACUUAGGGGAGCACUGUUUAUACCAUACUUGACCAAUCCCAAAACUACUGAGCACCGAUCAACGUUAUACCAUCAAGGACCCAUAAGAGUUUCCCUCCAACCAGGAGGCCAAUCACAGCGCGACACAUGUCGACAUCAGAAGCCAAUCAUAACGCAACACAUGUCAACAUCAAAAGCCAAUCACAACACAACACAUGUCAAUGUCAGAAUGAAACUAGAAACUAUCUUCUAUAAAUAGAGAUCAUUCUCUCACAAUAUUUCCUAAUGUCAUUUGUACUAAAUCAUUCAUUAGUACUCACUAAAGGAGAGCUUGAACCUAUGUACUUGUGUAAACCCUUCACAAUUAAUGAGAACUCAUUUACUCCAUGGACGUAGCCAAUCUGGGUGAACCACGUACAUCUUGUGUUUGCUUCCCUGUCCAUAUCCAUUUACAUACUUAUCCACACUAGUGACCGGAGCAAUCUAGCGAAGGUCACAAACUUGACACUUUCUGUUGUACCAAAGUCCUCACUGAUUUUGUGCAUCAACACCCUUUUAACUAAAUUUAUGUUAUAUCAGUUAUUACUCCCCUCUCAAACUAAACUUGGAAUAUCCAAGUGAAGUUUGAAAUAGCCAAGUAUUUGAGACUAAUCUAGACAAAUUCUAAAGCAACAAGAGAAUGAUACUCUUGACAAAUUCUAAGGCAACAAGACUCUUGACAAAUUCUAAAGCAACAAGAGAAUGACACUCUUGAAAAAUUCUAUGGAAUCAAAGAAAGAAUGAUACUUUCUUAACCAUCAGAAAGAUUGACAUUUUCUUGAAAUCUUGUAAUCCAACAAAAACACUAAAUGAAACAGUAGUUUAUCCCAGCAGCCACACCAACUUCUGCUCCUGAUUUAGCUACUCCAAAAAAUACUUCCUUAUCAUCCAUUUCAUUCAAGCCUUCGAUUCCCAUGACCACAAGUAUCUCCCAGUGCAUUCUCAACUGCUCGCUCUCCAAUUGUUACAUGCAGUGGCAUAACUACUACUUCACCAGGUGGCAGCCCCCUCUUGAAUUCGAUAAAGCACAUCAUUGUAUAGAUCUGAAGGGAAAGUUACCACUGUUAAAUAGAGCUGUCAAAAGUUAGUUAGGGUUUUACCUUUGUAAUUGACCCUUGUAAUUAAGUUGUUACUUUUAGCUUCCCUAUAAAUACUCUUGUAACUUAAUCAUUAAAUAAUGAAAUCAGUUUUUCAACAUGGUAUCACCGAGCCUUCCGUCUAACGACUUCUGAUUCCUUGGGCGAUUUUCUUGAAUUUUCUUAUCUACCAAACAACUCAUUCUUGCAUUUUCUCACCUACCAAACAGCUUUGUGCGAGUCAAUGGAGGCAAAUUCUUCUCAUUCUUCUUCUCCAGUGAUUGAACCACUUAAUCUUUAUCUGAUGCAUACUGUUUGUCUUCCAACUGCCAAUCCUGUCUCUCAUCCGAUGAACACAAGCCCUAAUUCUUCUAUCCAAGCUUCAAUCAACUCGAUCACAAUUAACAAUAUCGGCAGCAUGAUUCAAACAAAGCUGAAGCGCCACAAUUAUCUUGUAUGGCGAUCUCUCUUUGAACCGAUUCUUUCGCCCUUACAAACUCACCGGCAUCAUUGAUGGAUCUGAGCCUUCACCGUUGCGAUUUCCUGUUGAUAGCUCUGGAAAUCUCUCUUUGAUUCCGAAUCUGGAGUUCGAUAUCUGGUACGAGAAGGAUCAAAACAUCAUUAUCUGGAUCAAUUCUACUAUUUCUGAAUAUUUGAUUCCAUUCACAGUCGGUGUUCAAUAUGCGCGUGAUCUUUGGAUGAAUCUUGAAAAACGCUUUGGCGGUGUCUCUCGUUCUCACAUUCAUCAACUGCGCACGAACUUACAAUCUAUAAUCAAAGGCUCAUCGUCCAUCUCUGAGUACUUGUAGCGCAUCAAGGAGAUUACUGAUGCUCUUGCUGCAGCUGGCGCUCUAGUUGAUGAUCAUGAUCUACUUCUCAUCAUACUUAAUGGUAUUCCUGAUGAAUAUGAUUCCUUUGUGGACUUGGUUCAAUUUGAUUGGCUGAUACUUUUGUUGAUGACCUUCAUGGAUUCUUACUUAGCAAGGAAAUGACAUUUGCUCGCAAGAAACAACUACAUGGAUCUUCUACAAUAGAGUCUUAUCAGGCUCUAAAUUUCAUUUUAGCACCAUCGACUCUCCCUCAUUUGCUUCCUACACCUCAAGCAUACACUGCUCAGAACACCAAUCCAGGAUGAAAUUGUAGAGGCAACUUUCAGCGUCAUAACAACUCCUACAAUAAUCGUAGAGGCAAUCGCUAUCGCUCCAACCGCUACAAUAAUCAGUCUUACAAUCGGGGAGGAAAUCGUGGUGGUUUUUGCUACUCUAACAAUCAUUUCAAAGCCAAUCCGUGCCAAAUCUGUGAAGAUCCCGGUCAUCUUGCUAUUGAUUGCUUAAACAGGAAGAAUCCUAACUUUCAAGGCCGAGUUCCACCAGCUAAACUUGCAUUGGAUGCCACGACACACACUUCUUCUCAUCCUCCAUGGUUGCUUGACUCAGGUGCAAGUACUCACACGACCAACAAUUUCAGCAACAUUCAGAAUCCACAACCAUACACUGGUCUUGACAAAGUAUACAUUAGAGAUGGCCAAGGUUUGCCAAUUCUCCAUUCUAGACCUUUAGAGUUAAUUCAGGCAGAUGUUUGGGGACCAGCUCCAUUGUUUUCUGUAAGUGGCUAUCAGUUCUAUGUCAUCUUUGUCGAUGACUUCACUAAAUAUACCUGGUUGUAUCCACUCAAGUCUAAAUCAGAUGUAUUUCAAACUUUCAUUGCAUUUCAAGCACUUGUUGAAAAUCUGUGUGGUUAUAAAAUUGGAACUUUGAGAUUUGAUUCAGGGGGUGAGUUUCUCAGUUCUGAUUUCAAGAACCAUCUUUUGGUUCAUGGCAUUCAACAUCAAUUGAGCUGUCCACAUACACCCCAGCAAAAUGGUUGUGCAGAAAGAAAACACCGACAUGUUGUUGAAACUGCAAUGACUCUUCUCAUUGCUUCUCAGGUACCACAUUGAUAGGAUUAAAAGCACACAACAAAGUAGCACACAAAUGUCCUAUUGAUUUUCCUUAUUAACACUAAAAUUUGUCAAUUGUAGCAUAUGAAAAUAAGGGUCUUUUCCGCAGAAGAUUGUUUUAUCCAACUACUUAAAAUGUCACAAAAACUGGUUGUUGUCCCUACUGACUAGCCACCGAAAAAUAAUUAUUAGACUGACUUACACUUAUCUAAAGUCUACGAAACUUUAUAUAAACACACUAGACACACAAAGCUACACUCACACAAAUAUUUAGGAUUUUUGGAGUUGAUUUGCUAUUUAAAUUAAAUUGAACAAAAACAGGACAACAACAUAUUUUAAGUAGUUCAUAAAUUAAGAAAAAACGAGUUAAGGGAAUUGCUAUCCACCACCAAAUAAUCAUGCAAACAUGUUAUGUUUCAUUCAAAUUCCUUUUAUUUCCGAAUGAAGAUGCUCAAGUUGGCUCAAUGUUAGAACUCAACCUAUUACUCUUUCUUAUUUAGUAUGUUAAGAGAAUGGCGAUUUCAACUUAACUUAGUUCCUAGCAUGCAAUCUAGAAUGGCGUGUUCAUAGAUUUAACAAGUAGAAAUCAUUAAGAACAAAAAGAGUUUGAGUCGUCACAAGGCAUCGUAAGUACUAGUGUUGUCUUACUUAUCCUAGAAAUUGGUUCACAUGUUAAUCGCAAUUAACAAGCACUACUCUAGAACAUAUGUAGGUCCUCAUUCGACAAGGGCAGGCACACACAUAUUCAUAGCGUUAGAAUCCUAGAUAUGCUUACUACGUAUGCAUCCAUAGAAAACAAAUAAAGAAUUCAUCAAUGAGACAAGUAGUGAACCAAUUUUCAUCCAUUCAUAAAAGUAAUUCAAACGAAAUGUCAUAACAAACUUGCAAUCAUAUUCGGGGCUUCAAAACAGCCCCUAACUACUAAAAAUUUAGUUACAAACAAUCCUUAAGUUAAAACAAAAGAUAGACAUGAGUUUGAGAAGAUAGAACCGAAAGAAAUCGACUGAGGCCUCCUCCUCACUUCUUUCCUUCCCCAACGCUGCUUUUAAACCAAUUCUUGCUGCAUCAUUUUCUUCUCCUUAACUCACCCACUAAUAGCAAUUUAAUGAUGACAAUAAGUGAGAGGAAAUGGUAAACAAUUGUAACUCUUUGGGUAGCCCUUAUGCCAAUUACUCCCUCUUAAUCCUCAUCUUUAAUUCCAUUCCCUUUUAUAUUUGAAUAAGUGUCAGCUGACUUGUUCUUGGCUGCAUCAGUUUUGGCUGCUAAAUUUAUUGGGUUUAUUGCUUCCAUUGCAGUUACAAACUACUCAGCCUCUUGGUAACCUUUCAGUGUUAAAAUUGCCAUAACUUUUUCUAUACAAAUGAUAUUAACAAUCCGCGAAAUUCUCCAGAAAAUAGACAUCCGUAGCUUUCCAAGCAUAUAAGGCUCAUUCUCUAUUUCAUUCUGAGUUGUUCGUAACUUGCUUCCAAAUUUAGCUGAUCUGCACAUGCAGUUUUGACGAAUUUGUCACUUAAAAUCCCACUUGUACUAUUUUUCCUUUCUUUGCUUGACAAAUCCCACAAACACAAAAACAAAGUAAAUAGCUCAAGAAUAUAAGGAACUAGCUAAGACAAAACAGGUGAAUUUGAUGUAAAAUAUAUAUAAAUAUGAGCUUAUCACACAUUAAUUAUGGGUAGAAGCCUUUCUCACAGCAAUAUACUUAAUCAAUAUGCUACCUCCGGUGUCCAAACCUUCACCAUGGGAACAAUUAUUCAAAAAGUGUCUAGAUUAUUCCCAGCUUCGAAUUUUUUGUUGCAUCUGUUUUCCUUGGCUUAAACCUUUUACAAAGUCCAAACUCGACCCCAAAAGCAAACCAUGUGUCUUCAUUGGCUACAGUCUCUCCCAUAAGGGUUACAGAUGCUUGGAUCCUUCUACAAAUUGAGUUUAUGUAUCUCAACAUGUCCAUUUUGAUGAAACAACAUUUCCUUUUCACAAUCCCACACUACUUUCCCAAAAAUAACCUUUUUGUUCCUCCUUCCCUCAUUCAUUCCCAUUUUCUCUCACUUUUCCAAAUCUUUACUCUCCAUCUCAGCUUAUUCAUAAUUCCCAUUCUACCCCAAUCUCUCAAACUCAUGUAGCUUCACCACGCUCACCAUCACCUCUAAAUUCCAUUCCUGCACCUACAAUUCCACCAGAUGCACCAGUUACACAUCCUACACCAUGUUCUUCUAUCCCAUCUGAACUUGCCACUACAAAUCCACCAGCUUCAUCAUCAAACCUCUCCAUUCACCCUAUGCAAACUAGAUCCAAAUCAGGAAUUUUUAAACCCAAAGCCUUUAUAGCAACCAAACAUCCACUCCCUUCUCACAUUGACACUGAGUUUGUUCCUUCUACAUAUCUCCAAGCAUCCAAGUAUUCACACUAGCGAGCUGCAAUGCAAGAUGAAUUUAAUGCAUUACAAAACAGUGGAACUUGGAAACUUGUGCCUUCUGAUUCUACAUACAAUAUAGUUGGUUGUAAGUGGGUUUUCAGAAUCAAACGAAAGCCUGAUGGUUUUGUGGACAGAUACAAAGCCCACCUUGUUACAAAAUGAUACAAUCAGUAAGAGGGAAUUGAUUAUAGUGAUACUUGUAGCCCAGUGGCUAAACCAAUGACCAUUCGAAUACUUUUCACUCUUGCAGUUCAAUCCAAUUGGUUUAUGCAUCAAUUGGAUGUCAUCAAUGCCUUUUUACAUGGCUUCUUAAAGGAAAAUGUUUAUAUGUCCCAACCUCCUGGCUUUAUUGAUCAAUACCACCCUACUCAUGUCUGUCACGUACAAAAAUCUCUCUAUAGUCUAAAGCAAGCUCCUCGAGCAUGGUUUGAGAAACUUCAAUCUGCCUUAUUUUCCAUAGGAUUUAAGGCUUCUCAAUCUGAUCACAGUUUGUUUGUUCUUAAGCAACCUAUAUUGGUUCUGGUCUUAGUCUAUGUUGACGAUAUAAUAGUCACAGGACCCUCUUCAAAUGCAUGUGUUAAUGUGAUCACUCAGCUCAGUGCUCAGUUUCCAGUCAAGGACUUAGGGGCUUUGCAUUACUUCCUUGGCUUGGAAGUUACUCGAUCUGCAUCAGGAAUCUUUCUUCAUCAGUCCAAAUAUAUAUUGGAUCUUCUCAAAAGAACCAAAAUGGAUAGUGCAAAACCUUGUUUAACAUCACUUGGUUCUGCAAAAUUGGAUCUCACAGGUUCUCCAUUAACCAAUCCUGAAGAAUAUCGCUCAAUAGUCGAGGCACUCCAGUAUCUCACAUGGACUCAUCCUGAUAUUUCCUUUGCAAUCAACUUAGUGUGCCAGUUUAUGCACUCCCCUAAAGACUAACAUUUUAAAGAUGUUAAACGUAUUCUUCGAUAUCUCAAAGGCACUCUCAGGCAUGGCUUAUGGUUUCCCAAAACUGCUUCCCCUUUAACACUUAAAGAUGCUCUACUGGUGGUUUCUGCAUAUUCCUUGGUUCCUCCAUCAUUAGUUGGAGUGCCAAGAAGCAACACACUGUUGCUCGUUCAUCAACCGAAACUGAGUAUAGGUCAUUUGCGCACACUGCUGCAGAAUUGACUUGGAUAUGCAAUCUCUUUACAGAUAUUGGUUUUCAGUUACCUUUUCUACCGCAGAUUUGGUGCGACAACAUUUCAGCGAUUGCAUUGGCUUCCAAUCCAGUGUUUCAUGCUCGCACUAAACACGUCGAAAUCGACUAUUAUUACAUACGAGAAUUGGUUCUUGCCAAACUCCUCACAGUUCAGUUUGUGUGCAGCCAGGACCAAAUUGCUGACAUUCAUACGAAAUCUCUUCCUCGACAAUACAUCUUCGAGACAAGCUUUCACUUUGCCCUUCUCCACUUAGCUUGAGGGGGUGUGAAGAGAAAGUUACCACUGUUAAAUAGAGCUGUCAAAAGUUAGUUAGGGUUUUACUUUUGUAAUUUACCCUUGUAGUUAAGUUGUUACUUUUAGCUUCUCUUGUAACUUAAUUAUUAAAUAAUGAAAUCAUUUUUUCAACAACAUCAACUCCUCAACUCCAGGAAAUAGAGUUGCUGAUUGAAAAGAUUGAGCAACUAUCUCUUUCCCAGGUUCCGAGACCUUAACCCCAUCUGCAAGAUCAUGAACUAUAUACUCCAAAACCCGAGUUGCUGGGUUUACUGCACGACACACAAUGUGAUUCCCAACUAUCACAUUAUUCAUUGAUUUCAGCUCAUAAUCCAAAAGGUCAGUAUCUCCAAUAUGUUAAGCGAGCUGCAUCUCGCACAUCUUGCCAGGUCAUCCCUCCAUGACCACUCUCUUUCUUUUCUUGCACUCUCUUUCUUUUCUUGCAAUGCAUUCACAAUCACAUCCGCUGGAAACUCGAGUCUUCUUGUAGGCCAUCUGUUAUCCAUGUCACCUUGUUGAAUACCCAAAGAAAUCUCCAACUGGUAGCGCCAUUUUAUAUAAUCCAACAAUAUUCUUGAAAUUGGGAGCACAACAGAAACACAAAUACCCAAAUCUUGAACAAGUAUACUUCCAAAAGACAACACAAGCCACAACCAAGUAGUAUAGCUGUAAUUAUUAACUAGCAACAAAAAACUUGAAAAACCCAUAAAAUAUCCAUUCUAAUUGUUCAAGAAUUCAAAGAAAAGGGACUGAAAACAUAACCUUCACAUGAAACUUUUGAGUUGGGUAUUUUGACAAACACCUGGAGUGCACCCAUGUCUGAUCUUUCUUCCAUACCAGAGAACAAAGAAUUCACUGACCCAUUUCUUCAAACAGUUGGAGUGCACAGAAUUAGAACAUGAAGAGCUCCCAAGACCAGAAUCCACCUUCAGCCUCCAGAAAAUCGCCAACUAGAGGAAAUGGAAUUAGUGCAAUUGGACCUUUCUUGUCCCUCCAACCUUCCACCGUUGACCACACAAGAUCUGAAGAAGAAAACUCCAGUGCAGGUCAAUCUGGGUUUUUCUGCAAAUGGCAAAGGCAAACUCGGCCGAAGUACUUAACUACAUUGAGAUAACAUAUUCAUUGGUGGUGGUCUGCAAAACUCCAAAAGCAUCAAAUUUUGAAUACCAGAGAAACCCACUUAGCAAUUUCCCAUGAAAUCUUGGGCAACUCCAUCAGAUGCAGGAAAACCAAAAAUUAAAUCCAAAGACACGAGCUUUUCAUUCUAGAAUUGGGAAUUUCUUAUCGCGGAAGCAUCGAAAAUCUAAAGAAAAUUUGAGGAGAAACUAAACUAGAGAAGGAAAGAAAAGAAAAAAAAAUAAAAAAUGCAAACUACUAAGAAGUGGAACCACCAGAAUCCAUGGCGUGAGCCUGGUGGCUCUGAUACCAUAUUAACUACAUUGCAAAAGAUGAAAUUGGUACAGAGGAAAAGAAAGAAUUGGUAGAGAGAAACAAGAGAGAUUGUAUUGACUGAUUAGAGAAAAUGUAUACAACUGAACUUAAGGAAAUGAAUGAUAGAUAUACAAUCCCUUAUAUAGCCAUAUACCUCAAUUACAAUAAUACCCUUCUAACUAUAUUCCUAUUAUAUCAGUUAUUACAAACACCUAUCUUUUAAUUAUUUUUACAUAAUAUCAUCCAAAUCGAAAAUUAUAUUACAGUUUGAUUAAAUGAUGGUCAUUUUAGUGUUCUUAGAAUUGUUUAAGUUGUAGAAAACAAUGUCCUGAAAAGGAAAAAAAAAAGUUUAGAAUGAGAGCACGAAUUAUAAGUCGUAUCAUCUCAAUUGAUCAUUUCGUGAACAAUCUCUCUAAAAAAAGUGGAACCUACAAUCUUAGUACUGGCUGGUGAGUUGAGAUAAUACAAAUCGACCUUGCUCUUUAGGACGACUAAUUCAACAAGGUUUAAAGAUUCAACUUGAAGGAGGUUCUAGAUGAUAUAGUUCUCAAGAAUUACGGACUUGGAAGUGAAAUCUAUCAAAUUUGUUGUUGGAGUUUUCUCUUUUUUUUUUUCAAUGGCCAUUUGCUUUUAUGUAUAUUAUACACGAAGAAAAAUAAAUGGUCUCACUGUGAAAGUGACAUUUUCUUGGGCAAAAGACUUUUCAUGGUGUACGUACAAAUUAUGAAAGUUGAUUGUUUAUGCACCAAUAUAAUUGGAAGCUCUCCACCAAAGUUUUUUAAAAAAUAGAAAAAAUGUAAAAGAAAACAGAACAUCGAUGCUUCAUUUUCAACAUAUUAGGUAAUGCCCUAAUAUUGGCCCCCCAUGACAUAAGUAGGGAUUCUAAAUGUAUGAUAAUAUUAUGGUGAGAGUGAUAGAGAAAGAUCAGUAUGGGUUGGGUUGGUUUUCUCAACCCAGAAAAUAUUAGUAGCAAAUGGAUAUUGAUCUUAAGGGGAAACGAUAAUUUAAAAUAUAACUUUUAGAUUAACUAUAUGUCAUAAAGUGCAGUAUUUUCUAUUCGACUUUAACAUGGAUGAACUAUGAUAUAUAUGAUAUCGUGUCGAGUUGGGAACAGUUUAUCCAAACAUAAGACGUGUAUAUGACCACUCCACUAUUCCGAAGUUUUUUUUUUCUGGAUUAGGAACACACAAUUUUGGACAUUUUCCCUACGAAUUAAAACUGACUUUGUUGACAGAAAUGUAAACA